ensembl:piRNA 21ur-14626 ncRNA
UUAACAGUUAGUAAGCGGCAC